rnacentral:rRNA from 1 species
UACAGAGGGGGCAAGCGUUGUUCGGAAUUACUGGGCGUAAAGGGCGCGUAGGCGGCCUGCUAAGUCGAACGUGAAAUCCCUGGGCUCAACCCAGGAACUGCGUCCGAUACUGGUUGGCUUGAAUCCGGGAGAGGGAUGUGGAAUUCCAGGUGUAGCUGUGAAAUGCGUAGAUAUCUGGAGGAACACCGGUGGCGAAGGCGACAUCCUGGACCGGCAUUGACGCUGAGGCGCGAAAGCCAGGGGAGCAAACGGG